rnacentral:rRNA from 1 species
UGAAAUUGAAUAGUUGGGUCCAAAAGGCUCCUAGUUCUAUCAGAUCUUGGGAGCUAAGCAGGGUCGCCCCUGGUUAGUACUUGGAUGGGAGACUGCCGCUGAGUCCCAGGUGAUGUUUCGG